AGUGAACGCUGGCGGUAGGCCUAACACAUGCAAGUCGAACGGCAGCACAGUAAGAUCUUGCUCUUACUGUUGGCGAGUGGCGGACGGGUGAGGAAUACAUCGGAAUCUACUUUUUCGUGGGUGAUAACGUAGGGAAACUUACGCUAAUACCGCAUACUACCUACGGGUGAAAGCAGGGGAUCUUCGGACCUUUCGCGAUUGAAUGAGCCGAUGUCGGAUUAGCUAGUUGGCGGGGUAAAGGCCCACCAAGGCGACGAUCCGUAGCUGGUCUGAGAGGAUGAUCAGCCACACUGGAACUGAGACACGGUCCAGACUCCUACGGGAGGCAGCAGUGGGGAAUAUUGGACAAUGGGCGCAAGCCUGAUCCAGCCAUACCGCGUGGGUGAAGAAGGCCUUCGGGUUGUAAAGCCCUUUUGUUGGGAAAGAAAAGCAGCAGGUUAAUACCCCGCUGUUCUGACGGUACCCAAAGAAUAAGCACCGGCUAACUUCGUG
rnacentral:rRNA from 1 species